rnacentral:tRNA from 1 species
UCCCUGGUGACUCAGUAGUAAAGAAUCUGCCUGCAAUGCAGGAGACCCAGGUUCGACCCCUGGGUUGGGAA